GGUGACGUCACCACGAGCGCGAGAAGUCGAAGGUAGGAGCAGAAAGCGGUGUUAGUGUUAGUUCUGGCCCGUUUGGACCCAAACUAAAGUGUAUCAGUAUGAAGCAGGCGGUGACGGCGCACUGACUCACUCUCGGAGCUCGGUUCACUAAUGACCGAAUCACCGAGGAACCGACCAAAGAUAACUCACACCCGCACGGAGAAGAAGAACAAGAGGAGGAGAAGAUGAGCUGGAGUAGGGCAAAGAGAACUGCAUUCAGAUCAAAAGGAUACAAGAGGUGGCCGAGUUGUUUGAGGAUCUAAAGAAUUGAGUGUCACAAUUCAACAUGCACAUCAGCGAAACUUUUCCCUCUGACUACACCAGCACGCACGCACAGAAAUUCAUAGUGCAGGUGGCGAUUGCAGGCGCAUUUUAUCCGAACUGCUUCCUCCAGGGAACUGUGGACGAGGAGCUCGCCUCCAAGGAACUCUAUGGAAACGACCCCAGGACCACCAUAGUGGUAUUCAGUGUGUAAUCUCCCUCCAUUUGCAUUCCUCUACUAUAAACAGCUCCAGUCUCUCUUCAGACACUGUGGUUAAAUCAAAUCCAUCUCCUUUGACAGCUCCAGGGCCUAUGUAGAGUUCUACCGCUCGUCAAUGAGAGGUUCUGGCGUUCUCCCAGAGGUCUCUCUGUCUCUCCUCCUCACGCAGCAGAGACUUCCUCUCCAUCUCAACGUUUAACCCGCUGGAGAGGUGGAGACUUGGGCAGGGGGGUAGUGUAUCUCACACCUCAGAUAUACACGGGUGAAUGUGGAUUUUCAGAAUCAGUCAGUGAGCCCUGUCAGGGUUCUGAGCAGCUCCACUGAGUUGGAGAACCUUCCGUCUAACCCUGUCUUUAUCGUCAAUAUCACCGAGGUGUCUGUUCCGCCUCUUUCACUUUCAGUGCACAAAUAAAAAAGAAGCAGUGGCUCCUGUGUGUGUGCGUGUGUGCGUGUGCGUG